GCGAUUUCGGCCAUAACAUGAUCUGAUGGAUGGAUCGAGUGAGGACAAGGCCUCCGAGAUGAACUGCUAGAAAUCGAAGAGUAAAUGCCGCUUCGGCUAGGUUAAGACCGGAGGAUUAUUUGUAUUUUGAAUAAGUUUGCUAAUUUGAUUAAGCUUCCUAGUUCAAGUUAGUUUCUCAGUUUUGAGUGGUCUUCGAAAUUAAUGUUUGGUGCAUUCUCUAUUGGGAUGGAAGGAUGCAGAUUUUGAUUUGGCAAUGUAUGAGAAUUCCUCUCCAGUGUGGAGUUCAUUAUGCUCUUUAUUCAAUUCUUUGGUGAUGAAUAUUAGAAUCUUUUCUUU